UACGAAGGGGGCUAGCGUUGUUCGGAAUUACUGGGCGUAAAGGGUUUGUAGGCUGGAAUAUAAGUCAAGUGUGAAAUCCCCGAGCUUAACUUGGGACGUGCAUUUGAAACUGUGUUUCUUGAGUAUCGUAGAGGGUGGUGGAAUUGUUGGUGUAGGAGUGACAUCCGUAGAGAGUCAGCAGGAACGAUCAGAGGCGAAAGGCG
rnacentral:rRNA from 1 species